UGCCAGCAGCCGCGGUAAUACGGGAAUGGCAAGCGUUAUCCGGAAUUACUGGGCGUAAAGCGCACGUAGGCGGAUCAGAAAGUUAGGGGUGAAAUCCCAGGGCUCAACCCGGGAACUGCCUCUAAAACUCCUGGUCUAGAGUUCGAGAGAGGUGAGUGGAAUUCCGAGUGUAGAGGUGAAAUUCGUAGAUAUUCGGAGGAACACCAGUGGCGAAGGCGGCUCACUGGCUCGAUACUGACGCUGAGGUGCGAAAGUGUGGGGAGCAAACAGGAUUAGAUA
rnacentral:rRNA from 1 species